GAUCAAGCUAAAGCCAUCUGCUCUGGAAACACAUGAUUUAUGGCCGGAAGAAUCUUGACGGGCCCAGGGCAAGCAUGUAGAUGAGGUCCUUCUAUUGACAUAGGCCUGAGUCCCUUUGAGGGGACACCUACCUUGGUCCUCAAGCUGAUGACAGCAGAGUCCCUGGGGGACUGUCGCCUGUCUCUAAUGCAACAGGGACUGGACUCUUCUAGAAUGUUCAAAUACUGAAGCUGGGUCACUCAGAACUUAAAGCUGUAACUGACAGGCAGACUCUCUGUGGGCAUCUGGAAAGGCUGGCAAAGGAGACGAUGCUGGUGAAAUAGGUAGCUCCUUUCUGUUGUGAAUGUAUGCCCACCACAGACGCCUUCGGAGCCUCAGCAGGACAUCUCUGGAUUGCAUCAGAGCCUUUACCAACAUCUCUUGCCAUCUUACUGUUGGAGAAUGGAGGACCAUCUAGAUCCGGCAACGGAGUCAAGGCACCUCAGAGGUUCUGGUGACUCAGGAAGGACCACACAUCUCAGCAGUGGGAGAGCACAGGGGCAGUUUGCCUCCAGCACUGUCUGCUAGACUUUUUGCUCUUAGCUAUUUCAAAGCUGAGAUCAUCUCAUUCCUGGGUCUCAAGAGGACAAAGCUAAUGUAGACAUUUAAAGUCGUUUUUCAAGAUUAGAAUGAGAGCCAUAGAGAGCUGGGCUUGGUGGUACUGUAAUCCUAGCUCUUGGAGACUGAGGCUGUCACAUAGUGAGUUCUAAGCCAGCCUGGGUUAUAAAGUGUCUCAAGAAA